GACAGAGGGUGCAAACGUUGCUCGGAAUUACUGGGCGGAAAGCGCGUGUAGGUGGAUUGGUGUGUCAGAUGUGAAAGCCCUGGGCUCAACCCAGGAACUGCACCUGAAACUACCAGUCUUGAGUGGUGGAGAGGGAAGUGGAAUUCCUGGUGUAGAGGUGAAAUUCGUAGAUAUCAGGAGGAACACCAGUGGCGAAGGCGGCUUCCUGGACACCAACUGACGCUGAGACGCGAAAGCGUGGGGAGCAAACAGG
rnacentral:rRNA from 1 species